CUCAGAUUGAACGCUGGCGGCAGGCCUAACACAUGCAAGUCGAGCGGUAGAGAGAAGCUUGCUUCUCUUGAGAGCGGCGGACGGGUGAGUAAUGCCUAGGAAUCUGCCUGGUAGUGGGGGAUAACGUUCGGAAACGGACGCUAAUACCGCAUACGUCCUACGGGAGAAAGCAGGGGACCUUCGGGCCUUGCGCUAUCAGAUGAGCCUAGGUCGGAUUAGCUAGUUGGUGAGGUAAUGGCUCACCAAGGCGACGAUCCGUAACUGGUCUGAGAGGAUGAUCAGUCACACUGGAACUGAGACACGGUCCAGACUCCUACGGGAGGCAGCAGUGGGGAAUAUUGGACAAUGGGCGAAAGCCUGAUCCAGCCAUGCCGCGUGUGUGAAGAAGGUCUUCGGAUUGUAAAGCACUUUAAGUUGGGAGGAAGGGUUGUAGAUUAAUACUCUGCAAUUUUGACGUUACCGACAGAAUAAGCACCGGCUAACUCUGUGCCAGCAGCCGCGGUAAUACAGAGGGUGCAAGCGUUAAUCGGAAUUACUGGGCGUAAAGCGCGCGUAGGUGGUUUGUUAAGUUGGAUGUGAAAUCCCCGGGCUCAACCUGGGAACUGCAUUCAAAACUGACUGACUAGAGUGUGGUAGAGGGUGGUGGAAUUUCCUGUGUAGCGGUGAAAUGCGUAGAUAUAGGAAGGAACACCAGUGGCGAAGGCGACCACCUGGACCAACAC
rnacentral:rRNA from 1 species